rnacentral:rRNA from 1 species
AGUGGCGAACGGGUGAGUAACACGUGAGUAACCUGCCCCUGACUUCGGGAUAAGCCCGGGAAACUGGGUCUAAUACCGGAUACGACUGUCGGACGCAUGUCUGGUGGUGGAAAGUUUUUUCGGUUGGGGAUGGGCUCGCGGCCUAUCAGUUUGUUGGUGAGGUAAUGGCUCACCAAGACGACGACGGGUAGCCGGCCUGAGAGGGCGACCGGCCACACUGGGACUGAGACACGGCCCAGACUCCUACGGGAGGCAGCAGUGGGGAAUAUUGCACAAUGGGGGAAACCCUGAUGCAGCGACGCAGCGUGCGGGAUGACGGCCUUCGGGUUGUAAACCGCUUUCAGCAGGGAAGAAGCGCAAGUGACGGUACCUGCAGAAGAAGUACCGGCUAACUACGUGCCAGCAGCCGCGGUAAUACGUAGGGUACGAGCGUUGUCCGGAAUUAUUGGGCGUAAAGAGCUCGUAGGUGGUUGGUCACGUCUGCUGUGGAAACGCAACGCUUAACGUUGCGCGUGCAGUGGGUACGGGCUGACUAGAGUGCAGUAGGGGAGUCUGGAAUUCCUGGUGUAGCGGUGAAAUGCGCAGAUAUCAGGAGGAACACCGGUGGCGAAGGCGGGACUCUGGGCUGUAACUGACACUGAGGAGCGAAAGCAUGGGGAGCGAACAGGAUUAGAUACCCUGGUAGUCCAUGCCGUAAACGUUGGGCACUAGGUGUGGGGGGCAUUCCACGUUCUCCGCGCCGUAGCUAACGCAUUAAGU